rnacentral:lncRNA from 1 species
CAUUUGGCUAAACAAGCGUCCACGGGCCUAUUGUGCUUCCCAAACCUCAGGUUCCUAAACUGAGCUUGGAAGGAAGAGGAAAGAGCUGCAGAGGCGGAGACUCUGACCCCAAAGCGAUCGAGGGCCCUCCCCUGGCUUCCGUGUCCCUGUGGCAGGCGGUGGUGGUCGAAAUCUCUGCCCCUCAGAGUCCUGGGGAGGAUGGAUGGAACAGGAGGAGCAUCAUGAGAAGGCUUCCUGUAAACUACGGAGGGUGAGGGGACGGAGCGUGAGGGAACGUCGUGAGAUGGUGCUCGUGGAAGCCAGCAGAGGGUGUAGGGUCUCCUGGAGCCACAUCUCUGGAGUUACAUGAAGUUGUGGACCUCUCAACAUGGGUUCUGGGAACUGAACCCAGGUCCUCUGGAAGGACAUCGAGUGCUCUUAACCACUGAGCCAUCUCUGCAGCCUAACCCCAUCCCUUGGAGGCUGAAGCAAAGCAAGUUCAAUGACCGUGCGACCUGGCUCUUGUUUGGGCCUAAGGAAAAGCCGACUGUAAGCCGGGAAGCAUCUCUGGCAAGAACAAGGAAGGAUUAAGCACGUCUGUGGUUGUGCGCAGGGAUCACAAGGUGCUCCUGCAGUGGGAAGAGCCACCACUAGGGGCGCUCCAAGUCUUGUAUUUUCUACCUUGAAAACUCGUUUCCCUGUGGCUGCCCUCCAAAUCCAACGGAGAUGAAUGGCUUUUAGUUUACCUAGCUGAUUUAAUAAACUUUAAAAAUAAAUGUACGAAUGACUUUCUUAA